CCUACGGGAUGCAGCAGUGGGGAAUAUUGCACAAUGGGCGCAAGCCUGAUGCAGCCAUGCCGCGUGUAUGAAGGAGGCCUUCGGGUUGUAAAGUACUCUCAGCGGGGAGGAAGGUGUUGUGGUUAAUAACCGCAGCAAUUGACGUUACCCGCAGAAGAAGCACCGGCUAACUCCGUGCCAGCAGCCGCGGUAAUACGGAGGGUGCGAGCGUUAAUCGGAAUUACUGGGCGUAAAGCGCAUGCAGGCGGCCUGUUAAGUCAGAUGUGAAAGCCCGGGGCUUAACCUCGGAAUUGCAUUUGAAACUGGCAGGCUAGAGUCUUGUAGAGGGGGGUAGAAUUUCAGGUGUAGCGGUGAAAUGCGUAGAGAUCUGAAGGAAUACCAGUGGCGAAGGCGGCCCCCUGGACAAAGACUGACGCUCAGAUGCGAAAGCGUGGGGAGCAAACAGGAUUAGAUACCCGCGUAGUC
rnacentral:rRNA from 1 species